GCCUCGGUAGCUCAGGAGUAGAGCAGAGCCCUGAAAAGGCUUGUGUCGCAUGUGCGAAUCAUGCUCGAGGCACCA
rnacentral:tRNA from 5 species